UCCUCUUAGUCUCUGAAAAUAUUGGCAAGAGGUAAAACUCAAAACAAUAUUUUUGGAAUCUUAGAGAUAUUUAUUUUGGGCCUUUGAAUUAAAUCAAUAACAUAUUUGAGUUGAAUUUAUUUCUGUUAUAUAAGAAAUAAAGUUCAAGUAUUUUUGUAAGUUUGCAUGUGACCUUGGACUAGCUCCCUGAGCUCACAUAAUUUUUUUAAAAUGGUUUGGUUUGUAAAUCAAAUCAAAACAAAGAAAGAAAAAUAGAAAAUAGAAACAAAUAAAAGAGAGAGAGAGAGAGAGAAUCUUACCUGGCCUCGCCUGUGCAGCCCACCAACCGGCCCAGCACUGUAGCUGGCCGGCCCAGCCCACCACCGCCUCCUCCCCUGUCGUCUUCCUCCCGCCAGGAGGACAGCGCGCGCGUGGCCGCCGCUCGCGAGCACACGCUCCGCCACCUCCUGCUUGCCGCUGAGCUUCUGGACGCCCUGGACGCCGACACGCACCCCCCUGGAACCCUCUCACUCUCUCCAGACCUCUUCCCCCUCCUCUACUCUCUCUCCCUCUCGCGCCCGAGCGCAGCCACAGCCACGCCGUAACGCCGCAGCCAUCGUGCCCCACUCGUCUCCCCGUGCCGUCCACGGGCUCCGCCUCCAUCUCCCGCGACUCUCCGUCAACUCGCACGACGCCGGACGCCCUGCAUCACCCUCUGCACCGCCAUCCUCGCCGCCUCUGCCCCGAGAUCACUGGCGACCUCCCGUCGUCAUCAGCCCCUCCCCGAUCUCGCCGACUCGCUCCUCGUGUUCACCGUGAGCUGCUGAUCAUCCUCCCCCUCUCCGUUUUCUCUCUUGCACUCCGUAGCCACCGCGCCCCUCUCGCGCGACUGCGCCGCCGCCCGCACUCAUCGCCGACGCAGCUCCGGUGACCAUUUGGUCCCAGGCUUGUGCCCAUUGCACUCCCCGCAUCGCGUAGGAGCCGUAGGUGCUAGCGCUGCCCCGCCUAGGCCACUGCAGCAACGAGCCCGAGCUCGACCGAGCUUCGGCCGCCGCCGAGCUCGUCGCCGGCGCCCCUCCGGCCACUCCCCGGCCGCGCCACCACCACGGUUGGAUGCGGACGAGCGUCCGCAUCCCGUAGCUGUGCUCCGCGCACCAAACGGCGCUCUGUAGGCGAAUCCCGCAGCGCAUCGCCGCGUCUGGACUCGCCGGUGGCUAAACGUCGGCGACCGCUGACCCGUUGCCCGGCGUGGGUUGACCCCACUGCCCAGUUUGACUCCCCCCUCUCUCUCUCACUGACCUGCGGGCCCCGCCCGACUAAUUACUCUAGUUAGCACUAAUUAACUAGUUAGGUUAGUUACUACAGUCACUGACUAGUGGGCCCUGCCCAGUUAGUUACGGCUAACUAACUUAGUUAGUUGACUGGGUCACUGACCAGUGGGUCCCACUGGUCAGGUUUGACCCUGGGCGACCUGCUGACAUCACAGUGACGUCAUGCUGACGCAGUAAUUCUUUCUGGAAUUUAAAUAAAUCUUAAAUGAUUUAUUUAUUUCAGAAAAAUAACCAAAACUUCUAAAAAUCAUAGAAAAUAAUCUAUAACUCAGAUUGAAAAGAUUUAUAUAUGAAAAAUUAUCAGAAAAUCCAAUAUAUCCAUUUAUGUUGGUUUCAUGCAUGACAAAGCGACUUAACCUUGCUGUAUAGAUCAAAACAUGAUAAUGCACAUUAUAAAUUCAUAACUUGAGUUUGAAUUUGAACCCUUGGUUCAAAUUAGAUCAAACCCUUCUGGUUUUAGUUGCAUUAGUUCAAAUCACAGCAUAUUGCCAUGUCAUGAUCAUGCAUCAUAUUGUGCAUUGCAUUGGUCGUGUUCUUCCUUGUUUGCCGGUAUUUGUCCCCUCUCAGUAGACGACGUUCCGACAAUGAGUUCGAUGACACCGAUGAAGAGCUAUACUAUCUUCAGAAGUGCCAGGCAAGCAAAACCCCCUUGUUCAUUCCGAUACAAUCCCACUCUCUCGCUCCUGCUCUCUUUUACUGCAUUAGGACAACAAUGAUUCAUCUGUUACUUGCUGCGGUAGUUGAACCCCUUUUCCUCUGCAUGACCUAUCAUUGCCAUAGUAAAUAGAUGAAACCCACUAGCAUGAGUAGGAGUUGUUUGAGCCCUGAUGUGCCUACUCAUUCAUGCUUGUUUGUCAUGCCUACUACUGCUUAGAGUUGAGUCAGGUCUGAUUCAUCGGGAAUGAAUUGGAAUGGUGAUGAACAUGUCCUACUGUGUGUGAGCUAAGUGUGUGAACACGAUUUGGUAAAGGUAUCGAUGAGAGGCCAUGUAGGAGUACAUGGUGGGUUGUUUCAUUGGAACCGUCCUUAGGCACUGAGAUCUGUAUGUGUGAUUUAAGAUUCAGCUACUACCAUGCAUUGGGCCUGAAACCAAUGGACCCUCUCGACUUCUUAACCACCCUUGUCCUCUGUCCAGGAGUUGCCAAUAGUUUCUGGUGUUUGUAGUAUGCUGGAGGCCGUGCGCGGCGCUGACCCGAGGGGUGGGCUGUGAUGCGGUAGGCACGUGGCCGGGCAUGCCGGGCGCCCGUUUGGUGUCUCGGAACCCUGUACACAUCGUUCGGGGUCGUAUGUGGAAACCUCGGCCGGACUCCCUGCGGAUGGAACCUGAAUAGGCGAUAAACCUGGACUAGAGACUUGAGUGUUUAGGUAGGCCGUGGCCGACACCCCCGCUGGGCUUCCGCUUGAAGGUUGCCGAGUACAUGUCGUGUAAACGGCGAUAAGUGGUGAGAGCGUGUGUGAAGAAGUACACCCCUGCAAGGUUAAUAUCAUCUAUUCGAAUAGCCGCGUCCGUGGUAAAGGACUACUUGGUUGCCUGUACAGUUCAUAGAUAACUUGAAGUGGAUACUCUAAAAUGCGCAAGAUAAGCGUGAGUGCUAUGGAUGGCGUUCUCGUAGGUAGACGGGAGCGGAUCCAUAGUGGUGUAUUGAUUGGUGAAUAUGUGGACUCGUGUGCGCCACCUCAAAAGAGUUGCUUGUAGUAGUAGUUCAGGUUAGCCACUGAGUCAAAGCUGGCUUGCUGCAGUUAAACUCCACUACCCCCUUUGUUGAUACCGAUGCAUAUGUAGUUAGUUCUGAUGUAAGUCUUGCUGGGUACAUUUGUACUCACGUUUGCCUAUUUUAUGUUUUUGCAGAGAGACGUCAGUCUCGCUAGUAGUUCCGCGUGGACUUUGACGUUUAGCUUGUUACCUCAGCUACGAUCUUGUACCUCGGCAGGGUCUUGUAGAUAGUCAGGCUUCUCAGCAUUCUUCAUUUGUAGUUGUCUAUAUUCAGACAAGUUAAGCUUCCGCAUGUGCUUGUUGUUUGUAUGCUCUGUAUGUUGGGGUCAUGAGACCCAUGCUUGUAAUACUUGGCUCCUCGGAGCCUAAUGAAUAAAUACUUGAGUCGUAGAGUUAUGUUGUGAUGCCAUGUUGUAUUUACACAUAUCGAGCAUAUUGUGUGUAUGAUUGAAAUGCUUGGUAUGUGUGGGAUCCGACAAGCUAGUUGUUUAUCCUUGGUAGCCUCUCUUAUGGGGAAAUGUAGUCUUGUGCUUCCAUGAGCCAUAGUAGUCCGCUACAGCCCGGUUCACCGGAGUCCUGCUAGCCCAGCACUACUGCUCCGGAACACUUGAAUGGCCGGCAUGUGAUUCACUUCGUUCCUGUGUCUGUCCCUUCGGGGAAAUGUCACACGGUGACAUCCGGAGUCCUGCUUAGCCUGCUACAGCCCGGGUUCCCGGAGUCCUGUUAGCACAGUGCUACAGCCCGAAUUCGCACGCUGCUGACCGACAUGCUCGAUGUUAAUUCAUGUAUGCCUGUCCCCAUAAGUUGGUGCCACUUUGGGUUCACAACUAGUCAUGUCGGCCCAGGUUCUCUGUCAUAUGGAUGCUAGCGACACUAUCCUAUACGUGAGCCAAAAGGCGCAAACGGUCCCGGGCCAUGGUAAGGCGACACCCGUGGGAAUACCGUGCGUGAGGCCGCAAAGUGAUAUGAGGUGUUACAGGCUAGAUCGGUGUGACCUAGAAUCGGGGUCCUGACAGCUUUGGUAUCAGAGCCUGACUCCAUGUAGGAUUACCAAGCCAAACUGGUCGAAGUUGAGUCUAGAGAUGCUUUAGUUAUGUAGGGGAAUUGAUUGUGGGAAGGGAACGUAAGGCUCUUUUUACUCCUUUACCCUAUGGCCUUCUGAUCUGAGUCAUCCUCUUCUCUUCUACGGGGAUUAAGAAUUAGGCUUCUCGUCUAUCUAUCAGGAUCAUGUGUUACUAAUCCGUAGACUUAUAGGAUAGUUGGUUUCAAGCCCCAGCUCAGUUCCUACUACUUCCAUGUGUUGUAACUUGAUCUCAGAACUUUGAUUUUGUGAUGUUGAGUGGUUAUGCCAUCAUUUCCGUAGGAUAUCUCAAAUCUUUUUAAGCAUUUACAGCCGUUAUGCUGUCCGAGUCAUCCCAGGUUUCUAGAUAGUCUGAUGCACUUGCAAUCAUUCCUCCAUGUUCCUGAUGUCCAUUUGGGCCAGAUUAAUCACACUAAUCGGUGUGUUGAGGUACUAUGCUGCCUCGGCAUAUAUGUUGGAGCUAUUAUUAUGACCCUAUGUGUCUUAGAGGAUCACCUAGUAAUCUAGCAAUGUUUUGUAUCCCCGGUGUGAUGAUUCUGGCCAUUAUUCUCGAAAGCAUCCCGUGAUGCCAUUUAGUUAGUAGGCAUUCUAUUCCUGGGUUCUAGAGCCCGAGAUUCACCCUACUUACCUCCUGUUGAUAGUGUUUCCUCGUUCCUUUAGGAUACUAGUAGCCUUUGUAAUAGUCCUCGAGGUCCGUGGUAUUACCUUCUUCCAAAUACCAUGAACUUCUUAUGGCAGAAGUUCUUGAACCAAAAUAUUAAUAAGAGUGCUACUGAUGAGUUAUCCAUUCGAUAAUUGUGACUCUGCCAAUCCUACCUUUGUACAUGGGUUAUCCGGAAGAAAUAUGUUGAACUUGUUUGACAUACUAACCUAUGCAUCCACAACUCAAAAUAAUCGUAUGUUCCUUUGAGUUGUCUCUCUUUAGUUGUAUUCUGACCUCUGUCUAUCAAUUGAUAGUCAGGACUAGUUGUGCAUUCCUAUUAUCGAUGCCUAUUAUUCUUGUGGUCCGUCAAGCCAUUCUAUUUUGGAAUGACUAGGAGAAACAAACUCCAGCACCUCAUCCAUUCUCUUGGAGUGGUCAAAGUAGUUGUACUCCGCAGAUCAAAAUGCCAGUCCAGCUUUUGUUCUGUUCUACCUCGGAGUAUUACGCCCUUUAUGUCAGGAUUGUCAUGAGAAUUGCACCAUUUCUCAUGAAUUCUUGACGUAGUGAUACUUCUUGCCAUCAUUUUUCAUUCCUCGGUCCCGCGUUAUUGUAACUGGAAUGCCGACAAGUGAGUCGUGAUGUGUGAAAUCAAUACUCCUAGCAACUCUGUUGCUUGGUAGUUAAUGGACAAUAUUCUCAUUCUUAGUGUGUUGGUUAUUAAAUCACCAUCCUAAGAUUGAUCGUGCUACCUAGUCCUUAUUUCUGGUGCACUCUUCAAUCAACGAGUUAGGAUUGUGUCAACCCCUCACUCUUUUGAUCAUAUCAUCUUGCCCUGGAAAGCAAGGUUGUUCUCGAGCUUAGUAACAUAUCGGUGGUUUGUGAUUUUCCGAAUAUCUUCUCGGAAGUAUUACCAGGUUGUCCCCUGACUGUUAUGUUGAGCUCGUGAUCAAGUUGGUUUCUUGUAAACCACCCUUUCUCCAAGAAUCUGUGUUGGAUACCCCUGAGCUAGUUGGUUGAGCUAAAAAACAACUUGGAGAGUUGGAAGAUAAAGGCUUAAUCCACUUAGUUCACUCCAAAGGGAUAUCUGGUGCGUGUGUGUGUGUUGAAGAAAGAUGAUAUCUUCAUCGAUUGAUCCAAGUGAUCAAUUGUCGGUGCUAUUGUCUUACAAUCCUUUGAUUUGAGUGCGGGCUAUCGUCAAAUCAAAUCAGAACCAACGAUGUUCGUAAUGGUGUCUCACUCGUGGUUGUUUCCUCGAGCAUACAUCAUUAUAUCUUUUGGGUCUGGCAAAUAUUAUCUCCUUGUUCACAUAGUUGUGGAAUUCCAUCUUCAUGGAAGUAUCGAGGAUUUGUUGUUGAGCUCAUCAACAUCAUUUUAUCUUGUUCAUGAUUCAUGUCGAACAUCUAAGUAGUGUUGGAAACUUGUGUAAGAAUUUUCUUCAUGCUAGUUCAUGAAGCAUAUGUUAGAUGGAAGAAGUGACUUCCUCUAAUUCAUGUGCAUUUGAUGCAAGUUGCCGCCAUGAAUUCGAGAAAGUUUGUUUUUGCUUCCUUUGGAGUCAUCCCAAGUUAGUCAUGCAGGUGUGAAGUAUUCUAUGGUUUGAUAGGCUCGCUACCUUCAUUCCAUAUAUAUUCCCUAGCACACCAAGCCACUGGUUGACUUGUUCAAGGAUAAGAAGUUCAUCGAUAAGUGCACAAGGACUUCGAUAUCCUCGAUGAUGGUUCCUUACCAGAACUCGGUAGUGUUUUAUUGUAAGACUACUAUGUGGUCAUUCUUGUCUUGGACAACAUGUUCACAGGUUUGUAGCAGAACCAGCUCAUGUUUUGGAGCUUGCUAUCGUAGUUCAUUUCCCGAGAAUCUCGCAAUGUCAUCUCGUCGAUUUGUGUUGCAAACUUUCAUUUCUCUUUCUAGACUUGAUGAGUCUGGAAUGUCCUGACACCAACCAGAUCUGAAUCUCAGGCAGAUAUGAUGGUUGGACCAUUCCCGACAUUUGCAUUUUGUUCCCAGCUUGCACCGCCUUGUGCCAAUCUCCCUUGGACUGCCCUUCUCAGCAAUUGUUGUUCAUGAUCAUCUUCAGAAGUGGUCCUACCAUGGGUCCCAUCCAUUUCCGAUGAUAAGAAAAAAAUCUUUCCUUGCGUUGUCUUCAACAAGGUAGUCCACAUCGUCCAUUCUAGUCGGAGUAUGCCAUUCUUCCGAACUCCUUCAAGUAAUCGAUUGCAAAUUGCCUUGGGUUGGUAUGAAGAUUUUCAAUGAUCUAUGUAUCAAAAGUAUUCUUUUGCCACCUAAGGGAAUAAUCCUACGAGCCACCUUCCCUAAGGUGCCCCGUUAUGGAGUCAUGGCAAUUAACUCCUCGCUACGUUGAAACCCAUGCACCAUAUUAUCUAAGCGUGGAAUUGUUGCCUAUCAAAUUGAACCUUUGUUAUCGGUUUCUUUUCAUCCCUCUUGAUGUGUGUCUUGUGCCUCAGCUUAAGAGAUGUUUCCAAUGUCUCACUUCAUGAGUUGAUUCUGAGUUGCUCGAUCUACAAGAAGAUCGAUUCCUGUAGAGUUUCCUUCUGUCGUCAUCAUGUUGGAUGAAGAUCUCAAAUGCAAAGACGUCAAGAUCAAUUGGAGCAAUGAAUCAACAUCUUCGAGAAAGGCAAUCGGAUCAUGAAGAUCGUGUUAGCCUUGUGACCCGUCUGUCUUCUUACCUCACGUCUUGAACCUCGGGACGAGAUUCUUGUUUAGUGGGGGUGAGUUGCCACAGCCCUAGAAUACCUGAGUGAAAUAGUUGCAUCUGCACUCAUGCAUCAUGUAUAAAAUUUCUGAAAGUUGAAUUGAGGUUAGUUGAAACCCUCAUAAAUCACUUCAGAAAUAAUCAACAUUAAAAUCUUUUCAAGGAUGUCCAAGAAAAUGUUCCUCUUAGUCUCUGAAAAUAUUGGCAAGAGGUAAAACUCAAAACAAUAUUUUUGGAAUCUCAGAGAUAUUUAUUUUGGGCCUUUUAAUUAAAUCAAUAACAUAUUUUAGUUGAAUUUAUUUCUGUUAUAUAAGAAAUAAAGUUCAAGUAUUUUUGUAAGUUUGCAUGUGACCUUGGACUAGUUCCCUGAGCUCACAUAAAAAUUUACAGAAAGUUUUAAAAUGGUUUGGUUUGUAAAUCAAAUCAAAACAAAGAAAGAAAAAUAGAAAAC
rnacentral:lncRNA from 1 species